AUGGAGCACGGCCGAGACGAGCAAGCAGAACAGGUGUUGGGGGACAUAAUCGCAGCCGGAGGUGAUGUCAUGUCGUAUCUCAACGAAACCGAUGGUCUGGAAGGAGAGGGUGAAGCAGGCUACGGUUAUCGAACAAUGGAGGAGGAAGGACAUGAUUAUGAUGGCUCCGGUGACCGAAUGCCGGUGCAAGAAGGAGACCGUGAUGACGGCUCCGGUGACCGAACAGAGUCCGGCCAGCCCUCCGGAUCGAGCACAACUUCGGUAAAGAGACGAGGCCCGAAGAAAAAGUUGCGCUCGGAUGAAAGGUUCACGAUCACAGCAAUCGCGCGCGAUGGCCUACCGAUUGGACCCCUCCAGACCAAGGACGCAUUUACUGCUCAGUGCGAGGUUCUUGUUAGGGACAUGAUCCCGAUCAGCAUCGAGCUAUGGAAUCAGCCUAAGAAGGAAGAGCUUCAAGUUUCUUUUGUCGAAGAUAGACAGAAAGAGGAUCUUUGGAAAGCGCUGAAGGUAAAUUUCACCCUACCGGAAGAGGAGGAUCCGGAGAAUCCAAUUAUAGAGCCAUUGAUCAAGUCAUGUGCUCUCAAGAAGAUGGCAGAUCUAUUCAGGAGGUGGAAGAAUGAGCUGAAAGCAAAGUUUGUCGACCAAAAAAAGACACCAGAAUUCAUUGGCCGGUAUGAGAAGCUCAGAGAUCAAUGGGACGCAUUUGUGGCCAACAAGACAUCGGAUAGGAGUAAGAAGAUGCCAGCGACAAACAAGAUAAAUGCUGCGAAGAAGGAGCAUCACCAUCGCACGGUGUCAGGUGGCUACCUCAAAGCCCGGCCAUUGUGGGCCAAGGCUGAGAAUGACCUGCUUGAUAAAGGGGUCGAACCAGAGACAUUGAACUGGCCAGACUGUUCAAGGACUUGGUUCUUCGGGGUUGGCGGAACCUUGGACCCUGUAACAGGGAAGUGCAUUUGCACGAGCGAGCAACUGCGAAUACCCGUCACGAAGCUUCAGGACUAUAUCGCCGCAGCGCAGGAAGGGAGGUUCGUUCUAGAUAGAGAGAAGGACGAGCUCACAAUGGCCUUCGGGAAUCCUGAGCACCCUGGACGGACACGAGGCAUGCCAGGCUCCGUUCCAUGGAAGGCUGGGUUUCCAGACGCAAGCGGUUACAAAUGCCAAGAGAGGAGGAGGAAAGUGGAGCAGACCGAACUGCAGGAGCUGCACGCAAGGGUACGGAAGCUAGAGGAACGAGAAGCAGUUCGAAGCAAGCGACCUGCCGAAGCUACCCCCGAAGCUACCCCGCCAUCUCAGCGGAGAAGCAGCGUGGCUUCCACCGAGCUGCUUCAGCUGGAGCCUGUCUUCACGGCUCCUGCUAGCUACCCCGUGGAUGCUAUCACGGAGUCUCAACAUUGCCACCUUAUGACGCAAUGGCAGAACUACAAAGUCAAGGCGGCUGCCGGCUCUGUUCGACCUCCUGAACCCGGCGCAACUUUUCACCGUCGUCCAAUUCCAGAAGGAUAUGCUAGGGUGAUGGUGGACGAAAUAACUGAGGGAUUUGAGGAGCUCGUGCUUGACCACCCUACCGGUGAAGGGGAGACUCGGCUGGGUUGUGCUCUGAAGACUCCAUGCCUAUGGCGGAAGGAGCUCAUCAACCUUCCGAACUGGACGCCUCCUCCUCCUCCGGCGAGUCAGGGCACUCCGCCUCCUCCUCCGCCUGCUCCUCCGGCGAGUGAUCAGGGCACUCCGCCUCCUUCUCUGGCGCGUGGCGGCACUCCGCCUGCACCGGCGCGCCCGACCAGCCACCCUCAUUGUCCGCCUCGUCAGCAAGGGCGGAAGAGACCCGCCGCCGCUCCGGCUGCUCUGGUGCGUCGUAGUCCUUCUCCUCCGCCUCGUAAGCAACGAAAGAAGACAGCCGCAGCCGCUCGGCCUGCUCCGGCGUCUAGCAGUACAACCAGAGGCGGGAGACAAUACAGAUUCGGUCCAUCUCUCAAGACUCCAGAGAAGUUACCAUACGAGAUGACCGAACAGGAAAACACGGAUAUCUGUCAAGCCCAAGUGAAGGACUACUUCGAAACGCAAAGAGCUAAGAGACAUCCACCUCCGGAGGAGAAGAUAGAUCUAGUGAAAGCGAAGCGCACUUUGGAUGCCCUGCAGCGACCACCACCGUCUCCGCCGCAAACCAACUAUGAGCGCAUUACUGAAAGGACAUAUAAGGAAGCGAAGCGGUCGGGAAGUACUUGCAGUGACAAAAGGUUACAAGAACGAAGAAGUGGGAAAAAAAUUCCCCAGCUCGGCGAACAAGCGAACCAAUCGCCC
rnacentral:rRNA from 1 species